rnacentral:rRNA from 1 species
UGGGGAAUAUUGCACAAUGGGCGCAAGCCUGAUGCAGCCAUGCCGCGUGUAUGAAGAAGGCCUUCGGGUUGUAAAGUACUUUCAGUCGGGAGGAAGGUGGUAAGGUUAAUAACCUUGGCAAUUGACGUUACCGACAGAAGAAGCACCGGCUAACUCCGUGCCAGCAGCCGCGGUAAUACGGAGGGUGCAAGCGUUAAUCGGAAUUACUGGGCGUAAAGCGCACGCAGGCGGUUGAUUGAGUCAGAUGUGAAAUCCCCGGGCUUAACCCGGGAAUUGCAUCUGAUACUGGUCAGCUAGAGUCUUGUAGAGGGGGGUAGAAUUCCAUGUGUAGCGGUGAAAUGCGUAGAGAUGUGGAGGAAUACCGGUGGCGAAGGCGGCACCCUGGACAAAGACUGACGCUCAGGUGCGAAAGCGUGGGGAGCAAACAGG